GCGCGUAGGCGGAUUAUCAAGUCUCUUGUGAAAUCCAACGGCUUAACCGUUGAACUGCUUGGGAAACUGGUAGUCUAGAGUGAGGGAGAGGCAGAUGGAAUUGGUGGUGUAGGGGUAAAAUCCGUAGAUAUCACCAAGAAUACCCAUUGCGAAGGCGAUCUGCUGGAACUUAACUGACGCUAAGGCGCGAAAGCGUGGGGAGCAAACAGGAUUAGAUACCCUGGUAGUCCACGCCCUAAACGAUGUACACUAGUUGUUGGGGUGCUAGUCAUCUCAGUAAUGCAGCUAACGCAUUAAGUGUACCGCCUGGGGAGUACGGUCGCAAGAUUAAAACUCAAAGGAAUAGACGGGGACCCGCACAAGCGGUGGAGCAUGUGGUUUAAUUCGAAGAUACGCGAAGAACCUUACCUGGGCUUGAUAUCCUAAGAACCUCUUAGAGAUAAGAGGGUGCUAGCUUGCUAGAACUUAGAGACAGGUGCUGCACGGCUGUCGUCAGCUCGUGUCGUGAGAUGUUGGGUUAAGUCCCGCAACGAGCGCAACCCACGUAUUUAGUUGCUAACGGUUUGGCCGAGCACUCUAAAUAGACUGCCUUCGUAAGGAGGAGGAAGGUGUGGACGACGUCAAGUCAUCAUGGCCCUUAUGCCCAGGGCGACACACGUGCUACAAUGGCAUAUACAAUGAGACGCAAUACCGCGAGGUGGAGCAAAUCUAUAAAAUAUGUCCCAGUUCGGAUUGUUCUCUGCAACUCGAGAGCAUGAAGCCGGAAUCGCUAGUAAUCGUAGAUCAGCCAUGCUACGGUGAAUACGUUCCCG
rnacentral:rRNA from 1 species